rnacentral:rRNA from 1 species
AGCGGCGGACGGGUGAGUAAUGCGUGGGAAUAUGCCCUUUGGUAUGGAAUAGCCCCUGGAAACGGGGAGUAAUACCGUAUGUGCCCUACGGGGAAAAGAUUUAUCGCCAAAGGAUUAGCCCAUGUUGGAUUAGCUGGUUGGUGAGGUAAAAGCUCACCAAGGCGACGAUCUAUAGCUGGUUUGAGAGGAUGAUCAGCCACACUGGGACUGAGACACGGCCCAGACUCCUACGGGAGGCAGCAGUGGGGAAUAUUAGACAAUGGGCGAAAGCCUGAUCUAGCCAUGCCGCGUGAGUGAAGAAGGCCCUAGGGUUGUAAAGCUCUUUUAGAUGUGAGGAUGAUGACAGUAACAUCAGAAGAAGCCCCGGCUAACUUCGUGCCAGCAGCCGCGGUAAUACGAAGGGGGCUAGCGU